UAGCUCUCUCAAACGAUAUGAUUUCUAAAAGUGAGCAGGAUGGAUGGUGGGUUGAAGUAGAAAAACAAGAAAAUGGAAGCCUUCAUUUUUAGACAGUCUCUGUAGGAUAGCAGGGUGAAACCAGAGUUUUUCUUGUCCCUCUGCAUGCCCUGGCUGUUUCUGCAGGAGAACCUGAGCCUGUGGGCUGGGAGGGAGCCCCAGGAGCCCCAGCAUUUCUCCGGGCUGACAAUGGGCUGAGCAGGACUACAGGACACACCAUGGAUUGCACUGUCCUGCAGUACAGACAUACCCCAAACCGCUAAGAGAAAGAGAACCCUCCAGACAGUGAGCUGUCUGAUCCUAAGGUCAGUGCCACAUUAGAUAGGAUGUGAGUUACUCAUGUCUUUGGAGGGAAGAAAGAAAAGACAGAGAAACAGUGAUACACACUAGAAGCUUCUUUGCAAUGAAAUUUAGCAGUUAAUAAAUGGCAUAAAUUGCAUAAUCUAAGCUUCAUUGCUGCUGGAUUUUUUGCCCUUUAGCUUCAGGAAAAAAAUGUAUUAUUUUUUGAUUGGCACCCUGACUUAACCGAUGAGAUGUUAGCAGCCCCUGAGAAGAUCAUCCAUAUGCUGAAGAAGACUGUGGGCUCAGUUUCCUAUGGAGGAAGAGUGUUGGAUGAAGCAUGGAAGCAAGUAGGCUAUGUGACAAACUGAGACAAUGUGUACCCCUGGUGCUGCUGUGUAAUGUAAGGAAAUAAGAGGUUGAUUGCAUUACCUGAAUGGAGACUAUGCCUGUUUGUGCAGUCCUUACUGUAUAGUAUACUCAGUCAGAAUAGUUGACUCCCUGUAGCUAAAAUCCAUCCAAAUCCUCUACAAGUGACACAGGUAGAGGAUAGGUAAAUCCUUUGCAUAGCAUUUUCACUGCUCUUGUAAUCCUUUUCUCUUUCUUUUUCUUAACAUUGGAAACAUAUUUUUUCUGGUGUGUGUUUUCUGAACUCCUCCAUGCUGGGUAGCAGCGCUAGACCCCCUGGAUUUAAGUGACAGACCCAAUGGACUUCAGGACCUCAUGCCGAAACUCCCACCCAUGUGUAAAUACAGAAGAGGCACGAGAAGAGCAAAUGGGCACCACUCUUCCUUCUCCGCCUUACACACAUCCCGAGUGACUCUGCCCACAUAGCAGGGUGGCAGUGUGGUCAUACACCACAGGUAUGCAAGCUGUUCUGUCCUGCUGCUCCCAGCCCUAUGCCCAGGACCUCCUGCCCCAGAAAGAAAGGAAGCGGACCAUCACCAGAAGGACCACGUCCCUGGUUACAAUCUCUAAGUGAUAUUUCAACACAAAUCAUACCUCCAUGUGGUUAGACAGAGAUUCCUUGACUAGCCAGUUUUUACAAGAUUGGAGACAUUUGGGCCAGUCUGUUAUAACAGCAGCUGGUUCCUCCCGCCAUUGAUAUGGGUAAAUUACCCUCCGUCAGGGCGGUGAAGAAGGACGAGUGCCAGUUUUGACUGACCCUCCCACCACACUGUGAUGGGAACGGUACUGCAUUGAGUGAAUUCAUGAAAAUUACUUCAAUGCUUCAGAUGCUUCAGACAGUGGAAUAUCUUGGGCUAUCAAAACAGAAUACAACAGUCAUGAUCAGAAACAUUUUGCUUUAGCAUGUAAGCAAUUAUUUCUAUAAAAUCAUUGAUAUUCUUAGGAUUUAACGGCUUGUUUGGUGAAUUUAUUUACAUCUUUCCAAUGUUUUAUGCAUUUCUUGUUCCAGUUUCAUCUUUGUUAUUUCUGUUCCCCUGUCUUUCUUGAAUUUAUGAUUAAUGUUUCUUUAGGCAACAAAACAAUACAUUCCAGAUCAAGAGUUAUGCAAAGUCAUAGCAUUUUUUGAGAAAUAAAAUGAGUCAAUAAAAUAUUGGUAUUCAUAGCAAGUUUCCUCUCCGUGCAAGAGAUCUUGUAGGCAAAAGUUAUGCUUAGACUAAAAUAACAACUGCCCAAAGAAGAAAGAAAAAUGGAACAAGCAAUAGGGGUUUAUGGAAAAUUCCAGUCACUACCUGGAUCUGGAUACGAUUGAUAAAGAGGACAAAAGAACUAAUGGCAUGGAUUUAAUGGAUCAAGUUUCUCUUCUGCAGUUCAUCUCUUCAUUAAUGGCCCAUGAAAAGUGAAGACCAAGAGAUUUGGACCAAAGAGCUGCCAGAGACUAAACCAAGCAUUACCUCUUGAAAGAUGGCAUCAUUGAUGCUUUAAAUUAAAACUUUAUUGCCAUUGUAAAAUGCCUGUGAGUUACCCAGGGAAAAUAAAAUAUAUGGUUUUCAGAGAGUGGUCAUUAUUUUUUCAGCUAAAGAAGAAAUGUCCUUUCCCCUUAGGACUGGUGUGAAAUGGAGCCCUGCAUAGGCCUUCCUCAGCUGAGGUUCCCGGCCAAAGGCUAUUCUACCUUUUCCAUCCACAUCUGGUUCUUUGUUCCUUUUGUAAGAGAUGAAUCAAGCUUUGGGUCACAUCUGCAGGCCCUACUAUAACAGUAAAAUAAAAAAGAACCAUAUUUUUUAGGGAAGACAGACAGUCAUUUUCCAACUGAUCUACGACAAAGGUGGUAGGUCCUCCUCCUGCAUGUAGCACAGGGAUGCUGUGGGAGAAACCCCCUUUGCCGCAGGCCGCUCUGGACCUGCCUGCUCUACACCUGAAAGGCAAAUGCUUUGAGACCCAAAUACCAGCAUGACCCGCAGAGGUUUUGGUCAGAGGUUUUUGAGCUGCGGUUCACUAACAGGACUGUUAGUGGCUCCGUGACUAUGGGUGGGA